GAUGGGCCGGGUGGGCUCCGAAGAGAGGGAGGGGUAGGCCAAAGAAGGCCUGGGGAGAGGUGAUUCGGCAGGACAUGGCAUUACUCCAGCUUACCGAGGACAUGACCGGUGAUAGGAGGGGGUGGAGGUCGAGUAUCAGGGUAGAGGGCUAGUGGGGGGCCGCGAGGUUUCCUUUCUCGUAUUAGGAGUAUUUUUAUCCUGCUUCUAUGUGUUGGUCUUGUCUAUCUUUGUUAUUUUAUCAUGACUUCGUUGCUCUUGCUAUUUCUCAUUUUCACAUGGUUUUGAUUUGCUUGUCCGUAUCUGACUCUUUUCCCUUGUUUCCCUUGUUUUCCUUGUUUUCUUUUGAGCCGAGGGUCUUUCGGAAACAGCCUCCCUACCUUCCAAGGUGGGGGUAAGGUCUGCGUACACUUUACCCUCCCCAGACCUCACGUUGUGGGAUCCAACUGGGUAUGUUGUUGUUGUUGUUAUCCUUUAAUGCUUUUGAACGAAGGUCGCCUUCAUGAGUGCAUUCCAUUUUAUCUUUGAAGUAAUUCUAUGAAAAGCACAACCUGCUCAUUCUCCUCCGGGAAUAACUAGUCACUGAGUGCACUUAAAUAGAUGCAGAUAAAAAAAUAUCAUUUGGUGAAUUGGGAGAAAGUUAUAGCUAAAAUUAGGAUGGAGUGGGUAUCAAGGACUAAUGAUGUUUUACCGAGCCCUCUUUAAAAAAUGCCUAUGGAGGUUUGCAACUGAGGAGAACAUUUGGUGGAAAGAAGUGAUAAAACUGAAAGUAUGAGGUUAGACAAUGUAAAUGGUUCUCAGAUGAGGUGACUUAGACGUUAGACCCUAUGUUUUCCGCUUAAUGGCAAUUAGAAUCUGAAUGGUUCUGCUUUCAAAUUCGAUAUUUAUUCUUUUCAACCACUUAUCUGCUCUUAAUAGGUAUGAAUUUUCAGCUCGUGUACAGAGUCUAAAUUUUUAAGACGAUAUUCCCCUAAAAGUUCCUAUGAAGGUGACCUUUUAUCACCACUUGUCUACUACCACCACACAAAAUCAAUCAUCACUUUCCCCCCUAGCCACCAUCUCACAGCUGUCACCACCCGCCAUUACUGUACUGCCACGACCAUCACCACCAGCCAUAACUACACAAUCAUCAGCCCGGGGCACCUCCACCAGCCACUACAACCAUCACGCCAACCACUAUCAACGCUAACUAGUACUGUCCCUAGCUUUUAGAGCAUGCUUCAUCAAACAAAAACUUUUAAAUUAUCAUGUAAGCUAAAAUUUUCUCUAAUAUUUUGUGGAUAUAAUGUUUAAUUGUUAUUUUUUUAAACUUAAUUUAUUAUUAUUUUAGAUAAAGACAAAAUUAUACACAUUCAGGUGAUGAUAGAACAAUCUUUUUUUCUUUUUGAUAACCGUGUUGUCCGGGUCAGCUUGCGCGCACCUCGACUAAUCCCACGGGAUAUUUGCCACCUCCCACCACCAACAAGUAUCAGGUAACUCUAUCCACCAAGGCUAGAACAGAUGGGAAGAAAUCACCUAGUAUUCUAUCUCUGCUGGGAAGUGAACGUGAAACCUCAUGGUGCUCAACCCACUUCAUUGACCACUAGGCCACAGCCUUGGGUGUGAUGAUACAACUAUCUUAAUCAUUCAAUAUUCAGAUUUAGUGAUACUAUCUUAAUAAUCUUAUAUCUACUGAGAUUCAGAUAUCUUAAUCUUAAAUUUACAAAUGAGUUGAUCAUAUGGGACAAGCUUAUGCAAAGUGAUUAUGAAGGGGAUGCAGGAUUUCACAAGAUUUAUGGUCUUCUCAAUUGGGAAUGGGAACCAAAUUUGGUUUAAGUUCGAUGUGGUGUGGAGAUACUGGUAAAGAUGAAUUUAAUUUCCCGUUACAGAAACAAGACAGCGGUAGGAAGGACGAAGAGAAUUUCAGAAAAUAUACAUCGGAUAGGGAAAUUGAUGUGGUGGAGAGAUUACUGCACAAGCUAUGCAGUUUUGUAUAGUUCGGAGGGGACAAUAAGAUAGUGUGGGAGGGUUCUUUAUUAGCAGUCAUACUCAUGUCUGAUGAAGGUGUUACAAGAUUGGACACCAAUAACUACAACUGUCUCAAUCCCAAGAUAGUUUAGGUCGGCUAUAAGAAUUCUCAGCACCAAUCUGUGAAUUCAAGACAAUGUCAUUUCUAGUCAUUAUCCAUUUGGAUACCAAUAUGGAAAAUGCAUCCAGCCAAGAGAGUGGCAUUUUUUUACAUGGUGUGCAAUACCGGGAGCACUCUCGCUUUUGGCAUAGCGGGCCCCUAGUGAGAGGAUCGCACGAUGGGCUAUUAGCUCAGUGGUAGAGCGCGCUCCUGAAUUACAACUCUAUUGUACAGCAAUUGGGGCAUUGGUCUUUGCAGCGUUAAUGCUUUUUGCUGGUUGGUUUCAUUAUCAUAAAGCGGCGCCAAAAUUGGCUUGGUUUCAAGAUGUAGAAUCUAUGCUGAAUCACCAUUUAGCAGGGCUACUAGGACUUGGGUCUCUCUCUUGGGCGGGGCAUCAAGUACAUGUAUCUUUACCGAUUAACCAAUUUCUAAAAAAAGAUUCUUUCCUUUAUCUUAUCUGCUAUCUCAUGUAGUAAUUAUCUUUUUCAAUUGGGAGAGAUGGCUGAGCGGACUAAAGCAGCGGAUGCAACUGCAAACACUAAAAAAAUUAAGGAGAAGGAGAUGCAUAGUGGUCAGUUGGUGUGCAUCAGUAAAAAUCACGACAAACAAGCAAGCAUUUGCAUUAGCUAAGCUUAGCAACCAUUGCAUGACGACAGUGAUCAAGCUAUUGCCUUUCUUACAGAAAGAUGUCUUGGAUUACCAAUCUCUCUCGUUAAGUCCUCUGCAAUCAGUCUUUGUUUGGUUCUGUAUCUCUUCACCGUAUCACGACAGUGGUCACCUUUUCGUUUUCAGUUAUCUCCUUAAACAUUCUUAAUGUUCUCUGAGGAUAGCAUAAAAUUAUUACUCACAUGUUACUAAUAUAGUGCUCCUAAAUUUUUUUCCCUUCACAGAGAAGGUAAUCUACCAUGACUAGAAGUUUGAUGGUGAUAUCAUUCCACUUCAGAAUGUUUCUGUUGGCAUGUUAACUAGAUUUCAACUCUAUAAGUGUAUGCAAUUUUAUCUUUGAAGUAAUUCUCUGGAAAGACUCAUUCUCCUUCAGUAGACCUGCGAGUAUGGGCUUAUCUGGAAUUUUCAUGCACCCAAAUAGAUGAAGAUAAAAAAUAUCAUUUGGUGAGUUGGGAGAAAGUUACAGCUAAAAUUAGGAUGGAGUGGGUAUCAAAGACUAAUGAUGUUUUACCGAGCCCUCUUGAAAAAAUUCCUGAGGUUUGCAACUGAGGAGAACAUUUGGUUGAAAGAAGUGAUACAAGUGAAGGUAUGAGGUCAGACAAUGUAAAUGGUUCUCAGAUGAGGUGACUUAAACACUGUUUUUUCCGCUUAAUGGAAGGUAGAAUCUGAAUGGUUCCACUAUCAAAUUCGAUUUUUAUUCCUUUCAACCACUUAUUUGCUCUUAAUAGGUAUGAGUUUUCAGCUCGUGUACAGAGUCUUAAAUUUUUUAAAAUGAUAUUCACCUAAAAAUUCCUAUGAAGGUGACCUUCUAUCACCACUUUGUCUACUACCACCACACAACAUCAAUCACUACUUUCGCCGCUGGUCACCAUCGUACAGCUGUCACCACCAGCCAUCACUGUACUACCACUACCACCACCACCAGCCAUAACUAAACAAUCAUCAGCCCCGGGCACCUCCACCAGCCACCACAGCACAACCAUCGCGCCAACCACUAUGUUCGCCAGCUGCUGCUGUCCCUACCUUUUAGAGCAUGCUUCAUCAAACAAAAACUUUAAAUUACCAUGUAAACUAAAAUUUUCUCUAAUAUCUUGUGGAUAUAA